UUAUUUUAGAUUUAAGUUGGUAUGUGUUGUCUUAAAAGCUUAGAGUAUAUUCAUCUUAGAGUUAUUUGAUUCUCUCAUACACCAAUUUUGAUUAACUUUGACAAAAAAAAAAAAAAACUAUUAACCACUGCCAUCUUUUUCACUAAUCAAAGAGUGCAAUGAAGGUCAACGAGACAAGACCCGUAAGCAAACACAUCAUAUCCAAUAUCCAAUCUUCUUUGUGCCCUCUCUUUCUUCUUCUCCUCCGCCAACAUCACCACCACACUACACAACGCCACCUCCUUCGCCGUCACUGUUUCUCGCAAACAGCAACUUCAUCUCCCCACUCCGCUGCACCACCUCCACAGCCUUGCCACUCGACACGUUCAUCACCCGUUGACUCACCGAUCGAUCAAAAUCCAGCUCAGCCUCAACUCCUCCCCAAGGUUUUCAUCACCACCAACCGGAUAUUUGAUCACCCUUGUUAUCUAGUGGUGAUACAUGAACCACACUAUGAAUCAUUUUUCUUAUUUUAGACAUGGAAAGACAAAUUGAAGAGAAUUACGCUCCAUCAAAAUCGUCACAAAUCAAUAAUUCGGGUGGCAAAAUACUCUUAAGCCUAGUGCAUCGCAAGCCUCAGUCAAUAAUCGAUAAGUUUAUUUUAUCUGUUUUUAUAUUAUUAUUACUUUAUAAUAAUUCUAUGUCAUAAUUUUUCCUACAUCUAGUAGGUCAACAAGAAACGGGGAGCACCGGAACCAGCCGGUCACGGUUCCAGUUUCAACUACUUUCGAAAACACUAGACCCUUACAAUGGAAAAUAUCAACGGCUGAGAUUAAACUUAGGGUUUGAUCAGGAUUUCUUAAAGUUAUAUCCCUUUGAUGAUGAGAGGAGAAAGUCUGCAAAGAAAGAGCGGGAGCCAUUAGGGAAGGUUGAGAUUACUUGUUGAACACGUUCAGUGUUGGUGGAUGGCUAGAUGGAGUGGCACAUGUUGGCCCAUAGAUGUUCAUUGGAACAGAGAGAGAGUUGAGUUGGGAGCAGGUGCUUGCGGCGGAAGCGAGAGCGGCCCCGUCAAGGCGUGUGAGUAUGUGAGCUUGGAUUAUGUCGUCGUGGACGGCGGAGAAUGUCGUUGUUUCAGCCUCCUCUGAUUCACCGGUAAUGCAAAUCAUGAUAGCGUAUAUAGUAUAGCUAUAUUUUUGCAUAAGUAUAAUAUGGUGUUUCAUUGUAAGAUGAACUCUAUCUUAUUUUUUUCUUGUUAUUGAAGGAACAUGACUUUGCAA